UACGGAGGGUGCAAGCGUUAUCCGGAUUUAUUGGGUUUAAAGGGUCCGCAGGCGGAUCGUUAAGUCAGCGGUGAAAUCCCUCAGCUCAACUGAGGAACUGCCGUUGAUACUGGCGAUCUUGAGUGCGAGUGAAGUUGGCGGAAUGUGUGGUGUAGCGGUGAAAUGCUUAGAUAUCACACAGAACACCUAUUGCGAAGGCAGCUGACUAACUCGAAACUGACGCUCAGGGACGAAAGUGUGGGGAUCAAACAGG
rnacentral:rRNA from 1 species